UCUGAGUAAUCAGCACAGAUUUCUAAAAGAAACUUUAUGGGAUGCUGAGACAUGAAUAAAAACAACUUUAUUCCUUUGGAAAGGACAACCCACAUGCUAAGAAGAUGAUACUACAUGUUGUUAUAGCCCGAAAGGCCCUCUUUCCACAGGGGAGCAGUGAAGAGUAGAGGUUGCCCAUGUGGAUUCCCAAGUCAGAUAGAUAUGGAUUCAGAUCCCAGCUCUGCUGCUUGCUACCCAAGAGACCAUGGACUGUGGACUCUUUAGGUCUCAGAGUUUUUGUUUGUUGUCUGUUUUUCGCUUCCAAAACCAGAAAAUGAGAAGAUAUUUUCCAUAAGAUGGCGGUGGAGAAGAGAACUUGAUGGAACUUGCUUGGACAAAAUGCCUUCACCGCUAACUCAGUCAGCUAUGGCGAUGGGUCAAGGACCUGGUGGUUUUGCAGAGAAGACCCUUGGUCAAAUCUUUGUGAAUGAAGCAACCAUUCCGAUGUUCAAUAACAGGCCUUGAAAACCGUUUCCAAUAAUGUCAGAAUUUGCUUAAAAGAUUGUGAAAGACGGUAAUCUGGAUUGUAAUACUGGAUCAAAGAGACCAUACCAGGAGCCAACCAUGCUAAAUCUACAGAAUUUGUAAAAAGACAA